rnacentral:rRNA from 1 species
UGGCUCAGAUUGAACGCUGGCGGCAGGCCUAACACAUGCAAGUCGAACGGUAGCACAGAGAGCUUGCUCUUGGGUGACGAGUGGCGGACGGGUGAGUAAUGUCUGGGAAACUGCCCGAUGGAGGGGGAUAACUACUGGAAACGGUAGCUAAUACCGCAUAACGUCGCAAGACCAAAGUGGGGGACCUUCGGGCCUCACACCAUCGGAUGUGCCCAGAUGGGAUUAGCUAGUAGGUGGGGUAAUGGCUCACCUAGGCGACGAUCCCUAGCUGGUCUGAGAGGAUGACCAGCCACACUGGAACUGAGACACGGUCCAGACUCCUACGGGAGGCAGCAGUGGGGAAUAUUGCACAAUGGGCGCAAGCCUGAUGCAGCCAUGCCGCGUGUAUGAAGAAGGCCUUCGGGUUGUAAAGUACUUUCAGCGAGGAGGAAGGCAUUGUGGUUAAUAACCGCAGUGAUUGACGUUACUCGCAGAAGAAGCACCGGCUAACUCCGUGCCAGCAGCCGCGGU